AUUGAACGCUGGCGGCAGGCCUAACACAUGCAAGUCGAACGAAUGGCGGACGGGUGAGUAAUUUAUGGAAAACUGCCUGAUCGACGGGGCUGACUACGGGAAACGGUAGCUAAUACCGCAUAACAUCAGUUGUGCCCUGAUGGGAUUAGGGAGUUGGGGGGGUAACGGCUCACCAAGGCGACGAUGCCUAGCUGGGCGGAGAGGCUGACCAGCCACACUGGAACUGAGACACGGCCCAGACUCCUACGGGAGGCAGCAGUGGGGAAUAUUGCACAAUGGGCGAAAGUCUGAUGGAGCAAUGCCGCGUGUAUGAAGAAGGUUUUCGGGUUGUAAAGCUCUUUUAUCGGGGAGGCGGUACCUGACGAAGAAGCCACGGCUAACUCCGUGCCAGCCGCCGCGGUAAUAC
rnacentral:rRNA from 1 species